AAGGGUAUAGCUCAGUGGUACAGUGAGUGCUUAGCAUGCAUGAGGUCCUGGGUUCUAUUCCCAGUACCUUCA
rfam:Camelus ferus unplaced genomic scaffold scaffold185, whole genome shotgun sequence.